rfam:Bacillus subtilis subsp. subtilis str. 168 complete genome.
UUAUAAGAUGGAUAUCUAUAACUUUUUAACUAGAAAGCGCACGUAGUGUGAUUAUAUCACCGUGUCUGUUUUUGUGCAAUAUAAAAAGAACCUGGGAAAUUUCACCAGGUUCUUUUCUUA